UACGGAGGGAGCUAGCGUUGUUCGGAAUUACUGGGCGUAAAGCGCACGUAGGCGGCUUUGUAAGUUAGAGGUGAAAGCCCGGGGCUCAACUCCGGAACUGCCUUUAAGACUGCAUCGCUUGAAUCCAGGAGAGGUGAGUGGAAUUCCGAGUGUAGAGGUGAAAUUCGUAGAUAUUCGCAAGAACACCAGUGGCGAAGGCGGCUCACUGGCCCGAUACUGACGCUGAGGCGCGAAAGCGUGGGGAGCAAACAGG
rnacentral:rRNA from 1 species